rnacentral:rRNA from 1 species
AAGUCAAGUGAAAGCCCACGCCCAACCGUGGAACUGCCUUUGAUACUGCCGUUUUGAGUCCUGGAGAGGUCGCCGGAAUUCAUGGUGUAGCGGUGAAAUGCGUAGAUAUCACGAGGAACACCAUAGGCGUAGGCGGGUGACUGGACAGGAACUGACGCUGAGGCACGAAAGCGUGGGUGAGCAAACAGGAUUAGAUACCCUGGUUAGUCCACGCUGUAAACGAUGGAUGCUCGGUGUUGCCCGUCAAAGGGCGGGCAGCGCCUAAGCUAACGCGUUAAGCAUCCCACCUGGGGAGUACGCUCGCGAGAGUGAAACUCAAAGGAAUGACGGGGGCCCGCCCAAGCCGUGGAGCAUGUGGCUUAAUUUCGAUGCAACGCGAAUAACCUUACCCAGGCGUCGAACUGUACCGGACAGUUCCUGAAAGGGGGUCUCCUUCGGGCUGGUAGUGAGGUGCUGCAUGGCUGUCGUCAGCUCGUGUCGUGAGAUGUUGGGUUAAGUCCCGCAACGAGCGCAACCCUUGUCGUUAGUUACCAGCGGAUCAUGCCGGGGACUCUAGCGAGACUGCCUGCGCAGCAGUGAGGAAGGUGGGGACGACGGUCAAGUCAUCAUGGCCGUUACGCCUGGGGCUGCACACGUGCUACAAUGGACGAUACAAUGGGCAGCCAGCUCCGCGAGGAGGCGCGAAUCCACAAAAUCGUUCUCAGUUCGGAGUUGGAGUCUGCAACUCGACUCCAUGAAGCCGGAAUCGUCUAGUAAUCGCGUAUCAGCAACGACGCGGUGAAUACGUUCCCGGGCCUGGUACACACCGCCCGUACAAGCCAUGGAAGCUGAGGGUACCCGAAGUCCGUGACCCAACCUUAGGGAGGAGCGGCCCAAGUCACUCAGAAUGGG